rnacentral:rRNA from 1 species
ACUCCUACGGGAGGCAGCAGUGGGGAAUAUUGCACAAUGGGCGCAAGCCUGAUGCAGCCAUGCCGCGUGUAUGAAGAAGGCCUUCGGGUUGUAAAGUACUUUCAGCAGUGAGGAAGGUGGAUAUGUUAAUAGCAUAUUCAUUUGACGUUAGCUGCAGAAGAAGCACCGGCUAACUCCGUGCCAGCAGCCGCGGUAAUACGGAGGGUGCGAGCGUUAAUCGGAAUUACUGGGCGUAAAGCGCAUGCAGGUGGUUUGUUAAGUCAGAUGUGAAAGCCCGGGGCUCAACCUCGGAAUUGCAUUUGAAACUGGCAAACUAGAGUACUGUAGAGGGGGGUAGAAUUUCAGGUGUAGCGGUGAAAUGCGUAGAGAUCUGAAGGAAUACCGGUAGGCGAAGGCGGCCCCCUGGACAGAUACUGACACUCAGAUGCGAAAGCGUGGGGAGCAAACAGGAUUAGAUACCCUGGUAAGGCGU